GAUGAACGCUAGCUACAGGCUUAACACAUGCAAGUCGAGGGGAAACGAUAUUGGAAGCUUGCUUCCGAUAGGCGUCGACCGGCGCACGGGUGAGUAACGCGUAUCCAACCUGCCCACCACUUGGGGAUAACCUUGCGAAAGUAAGACUAAUACCCAAUUAUAUCUCUAGAAGACAUCUGAAGGAGAUUAAAGACUCAUCGGUGAUGGAUGGGGAUGCGUGUGAUUAGCUUGUUGGCGGGGUAACUGCCCACCAAGCCGACGAUCAGGAGGGGUUCUGAGAGGAAGGUCCCACACCUUGGAACUGGGACAGGGUCCAAACUCCUACGGGAGGCAGCAGUGAGGAAGAUUGGUCAAUGGGCGAGAGCCUGAACCAGCCAAGUAGCGUGCAGGAUGACGGCCCUAUGGGUUGUAAACUGCUUUUAUAAGGGAAUAAAGUGAGUCUCGUGAGACUUUUUGCAUGUACCUUAUGAAUAAGGACCGGCUAAUUCCGUGCCAGCCGCCGCCGUAA
rnacentral:rRNA from 1 species